rnacentral:lncRNA from 1 species
AAGUGGAUGGACUCCAGGGGAUGGAGAAUGGAAGGCAGCAGAUGUUUGUUGACUUCUUGCUCUAUAUCGGGCACUGUGCUAGAUACCAUACACGCCAUCAACAUUUAGGACAGUAUGACAAAGGAGAAUGAAAGCUGUCUCUUGUAGAUAGGAUAUUUUCAGCCGUCAUCACCAUGGACUCUUUGAAAUGUACUACUUCAGAAAAGCCACAGUGACUCCCUCUGGGCCUCACCCACCUGAGAUGACAUCACGACGCAAAUCUAGGACUUACGCUCUUCAUACGGAUGGAAUGGUUGGUUCACUUGGCUUUCAGAGUGCAGACAAGCCAUUCAGUGGAGGGCAUGCCUCAGCCUGCACUCUUCUGACUCAUGACAUGACUUCUCCAUGGAGAGCCAGGAUUUUUCUCAAGUGUAACAAUAUUAAUUAUCAAGUCACUUUAAAACA